AGGGAAUUUUCCACAAUGGACGAAACUCUGAUGCAGCAACGCCGCGUGAGUGAUGAAGGUCUUCGGAUUGUAAAGCUCUGUCUUCUGGGACGAUAAUGACGGUACCAGAGGAGGAAGCCACGGCUAACUACGUGCCAGCAGCCGCGGUAAUACGUAGGUGGCAAGCGUUGUCCGGAUUUACUGGGCGUAAAGGAUGUGUAGGCGGAUAUUUAAGUGAGAUGUGAAAUCCCCGGGCGUAACUUGGGGGCUGCAUUUCAAACUGGAUGUCUAGAGUGCAGGAGAGGAAAGCAGAAUUCCUAGUGUAGCGGUGAAAUGCGUAGAGAGUAGGAAGAAUACCAGUGGCGAAGGCGGCUUUCUGGACUGUAACUGACGCUGAGGCAUGAAAGCGUGGGGAGCAAAC
rnacentral:rRNA from 1 species